AAUUAAUAAAAUCUGUAGCCUAAAUAAGAUAACAAAAGUAGAAACAAUUAAACAAAUAAGUAAAUAACCUCGAACAAGCUUGAUUCUACCCUCACUCUUUUGGUGGUUGCAAGAAUGUUGUCAUUCUUCUCAUUCUCACGAAUGAUGUUAAGGUGUGCUCUUCAAGUCCCAAAUCCCUCUCCUUAUUGUGUUCCCUAUUCAGCUUUCCGUCUUUGCUUCCCUUCAACUUCAUCCCUACACUCUCACUCUCACUCUCAGCCCCAAUCGCUUGAUGAAGCUGUUGAUUCCUUCACUCGCAUGCUCUCUAUGCGUCGUACUCCUCCCAUCAUCCAAUUUAACAAGAUUUUGGGAUCCCUUUCCAAGACGAACCAUUUCCACGCUGCCGUUUCCCUUUUUCAGCAAUUGCAAGCCAGGGGAAUCGCUCCCGACUUAUUUACUUUGACCAUCGUAAUUAAUUGUUGUUGCGGCAUGGGUCGUAUGACGCUUGCUUUCUCUGUAUUGGCCAAGAUUUUCAGAAUGGAUUAUCAACCUAAUACCGUAACAUUGAAUACACUCGUUAAAGGCCUCUUUCUCUGUGGUAGUGUUGAAAAAGCAGUGCGCUUUCAUGAUAGAGUGCUGGCUCAUGGAUUUCACUUUAAUCAAGUCACUUAUGGGACCUUGAUCAAUGGCCUCUGUAAGACCGGACACACAUCAGCUGCUAUUCAAGUGUUGAGAAACAUCCCACGGUAUGGGAUUGUUCCUAAUGUCGUAAUGUACAGCGCAAUUAUUGAUAGUCUGUGCAAGGAUACACUUGUAAGCGAUGCUUUUCAUUUAUAUUCUGAAAUGCUUGCUAAGGGAAUUUAUCCUAAUGUUAUCACAUACAGCACUCUAAUUUAUGGAUUAUGCCUUGGGGGUCAACUAAAAGAAGCCAUUGAUUUACUGAAUCAUAUGAUGCUGAAAAACAUUACUCCAGAUGCUUCUACCUAUAGUACUUUGAUUGAUGGGCUAUGUAAGGAAGGAAGGGUCAAAGAUGCUAAGAGUGUGUUUGUUAUCAUGAUGAAAAAAGGUGUGAAACCAGAAGUGUUUAUUUAUAAUAGCUUAAUGGAUGGAUAUUGUUUGGUUAAUGAGGUAAAUAAGGCAAAAUAUGUAUUCAACACAAUGGCACAAAGUAGAGUGUCACUUGAUGCUCAAAGUUACACUAUCAUGAUUAAUGGCUUGUGCAAAAGUAAAAUGGUCGAUGAAGCCUUGAGUCUCUUUGAAGAAAUGCGUCGUAAGUACUUGGUUCCAAACACUAUAACCUACAGCACUCUUAUUGAUGGCUUGAGCAAAUCAAAGAGAAUCUCUUGUGCUUUGGAGCUUCUUGUCAAGAUGCACGAAAGAGGUCCACCCGCUAAUGUAGUCACUUACAAUUCCUUGUUGGAUGGGAUGUUCAAUAUCAAACAAGUUGACAAGGCACUUAUGUUAUUCAAGCAAAUGAAAGAGAGUGGCAUUGAUCCAAAUAUAUAUACAUACAACAUACUUAUAGAUGGCCUGUGCAAAAGUGGAAGACUUAAAAAUGCAAAAGAGAUUUUUCAAGAUCUUUCCAUUAAAGGCUAUCGUCCAGAGGCGAGGACAUACACUAUUAUGAUAAAGGGGCUUUGCAAACAGGGCCUACUUCCUGAAGCAUUGGCUUUCUUGUCAAAAAUGGAAGACAAUGGUUGCUUACCAAAUGCUGUGACUUAUGAAAUAAUCAUUCGUGCUCUGUUUGAAAAAGGUGAAAAUGAUAACGCGGAGAAACUUCUUCGUGAAAUGAUAUCUAGAGGCCUAUUGUAAGGAUAAAAGUAGUUAUACCUGAAGCAUAUUGUACCAAAGCAAUCAACUUGAUAAAAAAGGUUACUGAUUCAAACUUCAAAGCCAAAGGAUUUUGAUCAAACAGUAGCCUCUUGCGCAAUCUCCAAGCACCCCAAAGAGUAGCAAGAAACAUUUGCACAGGUGGAAAUAGAAAAUAACUAGUUUACAAGGGCAAGCAGUAGCAGAAAGCCAUUGGAUUUUAUUCAGAUGCCAUUAAACUAAGCAGCAAGAAUGCAACAUACUACAGUAAUAGGGCCCAAGCAUCUAAGUCUUUAUGUACUUGAAAGCAUCUAAGUCUAGUAGGUAGAUACUGAAU